rnacentral:rRNA from 1 species
UACGAAGGGUGCAAGCGUUACUCGGAAUUACUGGGCGUAAAGCGUGCGUAGGCGGUUCGUUAAGUCCGUUGUGAAAGCCCUGGGCUCAACCUGGGGAAUGGCAGUGGAUACUGGCGAGCUAGAGUGUGAUAGAGGAUGGUGGAAUUCCCGGUGUAGCGGUGAAAUGCGUAGAGAUCGGGAGGAACACCAGUGGCGAAGGCGGCCAUCUGGAUCAACACUGACGCUGAGGCACGAAAGCGUGGGGAGCAAACAGGG